rnacentral:rRNA from 1 species
GAUGAACGCUGGCGGCGUGCCUAAUACAUGCAAGUCGAGCGAACAGACGAGGAGUUUGCUCCUCUGACGUGAGCGGCGCACGUGUGAGUAACACGUGGAUAACCGACCUAUAAGUCUGGGAUAACUUCGGGAUACCGGAGCUAAUACCGGAUAAUAUAUUGAACCGCAUGGUUCAAUAGAUAAUGACGGUUUUGCGGUCACUUAUAGCUGGUUCCGAGCCGCAUUAGCUAGUUGGUAAUGUAACGGCUUGCCAAGGCAACGAUGGGUAGCCGACCUGAGAGGGUGAUCGGCCACACUGGAACUGAGACACGGUCCAGACUCCUAAGGGAGGCAGCAGUAGGGAAUCUUACGCAAUGGGCGGAAGCCUGACGGAGUAACGCCGCGCGUGGGAUGAAGAUCUUCCGCUCGUAAAACUGUGUUAUUAGGGAAGAACCAAUGUGUAAGUAUAUAUGCACGUCUUGACGGUACCUGAUCAAGAAGCCACGGCUAACUACGUG